rnacentral:rRNA from 1 species
GACAGAGGGGGCAAGCGUUGCUCGGAAUUACUGGGCGUAAAGAGCGUGUAGGCGGCUUUACAGGUCCGUUGUGAAAACUCGAGGCUCAACCUCGAGACGCCGGUGGAAACCGUAAAGCUAGAGUCCGGAAGAGGAGAGUGGAAUUCCCGGUGUAGCGGUGAAAUGCGCAGAUAUCGGGAAGAACACCCGUGGCGAAGGCGGCUCUCUGGGACGGUACUGACGCUGAGACGCGAAAGCGUGGGUAGCAAACAGG